CAGUAACCGCGGUAAUACGAACCGUGCGAACGUUAUUCGGAAUCACUGGGCUUAAAGCGCGUGUAGGCGGAUGGGAACGUCGGUUGCUGAAAUCCCCCGGCUUAACCGGGGAACUGGCACCGAUACGGCUCGUCUGGAGGGAGGUAGGGGGGUCUGGAACUUCCGGUGGAGCGGUGAAAUGCGUUGAGAUCGGAAGGAACGCCCGUGGCGAAAGCGAGGCCCUGGACCUUUUCUGACGCUGAGACGCGAAAGCCAGGGGAGCGAACGGGAUUAGAUACCCCCGUAGUCCCUGUCUCUUAUA
rnacentral:rRNA from 1 species